rnacentral:misc_RNA from 1 species
AACCUUAUGGACCUGCGGGCGUAUACCUGCGGAAGGAUCAUUAACCUUCCAAAAAACAGGGUGCGUCGCGGCCCCCCUCCGGGGGCGGUUUGGGGUCCUCCCCUUCACGCGCGCACGACUGCAUCCUUACUUUACGAGCACCUUCUGUUCUCCCUCGGCGGGGCAACCUGCCGUUGGAACCGAAUAAACCCUUUUUUGCAUCCAGCAUUACCCGUUCCGAAACAAACAAUCGUUACAACU